rnacentral:rRNA from 1 species
CCUACGGGCGGCAGCAGUGAGGAAUAUUGGUCAAUGGACGAGAGUCUGAACCAGCCAAGUAGCGUGAAGGAUGACUGCCCUAUGGGUUGUAAACUUCUUUUAUAUGGGAAUAAAAUGUUCCACGUGUGGGAUUUUGUAUGUACCAUAUGAAUAAGGAUCGGCUAACUCCGUGCCAGCAGCCGCGGUAAUACGGAGGAUCCGAGCGUUAUCCGGAUUUAUUGGGUUUAAAGGGAGCGUAGGUGGAUUGUUAAGUCAGUUGUGAAAGUUUGCGGCUAAACCGUAAAAUUGCAGUUGAAACUGGCAGUCUUGAGUACAGUAGAGGUGGGCGGAAUUCGUGGUGUAGCGGUGAAAUGCUUAGAUAUCACGAAGAACUCCGAUUGCGAAGGCAGUUCACUGGACUGCAACUGACACUGAGGCUCGAAAGUGUGGGUAUCAAACAGGAUUAGAUACCCUAGUAGUC